rnacentral:rRNA from 1 species
GAUGAACGCUGGCGGCGUGCCUAAUACAUGCAAGUCGAGCGAACAGACGAGGAGCUUGCUCCUUUGACGUUAGCGGCGGACGGGUGAGUGACACGUAGGUAACUUACCUAUAAGACUGGGAUAACUUCGGGAAACCGGAGCUAAUACCGGAUAAUAUUUCGAACCGCAUGGUUCGAUAGUGAAAGAUGGCUUUGCUAUCACUUAUAGAUGGACCUGCGCCGUAUUAGCUAGUUGGUAAGGUAACGGCUUACCAAGGCAACGAUACGUAGCCGACCUGAGAGGGUGAUCGGCCACACUGGAACUGAGACACGGUCCAGACUCCUACGGGAGGCAGCAGUAGGGAAUCUUCCGCAAUGGGCGAAUGCCUGACGGAGCAACGCCGCGUGAGUGAUGAAGGUCUUCGGAUCGUAAAACUCUGUUAUUAGGGAAGAACAAACGUGUAAGUAACUGUGCACGUCUUGACGGUACCUAAUCAGAAAGCCACGGCUAACUACGUG